AGAGUUGUGGUGGAGGCAGCGGUGAGCAGGUAGAGUUGUGGUGGAGGCAGCAUUGAGCGAGUAGAAUAAUGAUGGAGACAGCAGUAAGUGAGUAGAUUUUUGGUGGAGGCAGUGGUGAGCAGAUACAUUUGUAAUAGAGGUAGUAUAGAGCGGAUACAGUUGUGAUGAAGACCAUGAGUUUGUGAUGGAGGCAGUAGUGAGCGGAUAGAGUUGUGAUGGAGGCAGCUGUGAGUGGAUAGAGUUGUGGUGGAGGCAGCGGUGAGCAGAUAGAGUUGUGAUGGAGGCAGUGGUGAGCAGAUAGAGUUGUGGUGGAGGCAGCAUUGAGCUAGUAGAAUAAUGAUGGAGACAGCAGUAAGUGAGUAGAUUUUUGGUGGAGGCAGUGGUGAGCAGAUACAUUUGUAAUAGAGGUAGUAUAGAGCGGAUACAGUUGUGAUGAAGACCAUGAGUUUGUGAUGGAGGCAGUAGUGAGCAGAUAGAGUUGUGAUGGAGGCAGUGGUGAGCAGAUAGAGUUGUGAUAGAGGCAGCGGUGAGCAGAUAGAGUUGUGAUGGAGGCAGUGGUGAGCAGAUAGAGUUGUGGUGGAGGCAGCGGUGAGCAGGUAGAGUUGUGGUGGAGGCAGCGGUGAGCAGGUAGAGUUGUGAUAGAGGCAGUGGUGAGCAGAUAGAGUUGUGAUAGAGGCAGUGGUGAGCAGAUAGAGUUGUGGUGGAGGCAGCGGUGAGCAGGUAGAGUUGUAGUGGAGGCAGCGGUGAGCAGGUAGAGUUGUGGCGGAGGCAGCAUUGAGUGAGUAGAGUUGUGGUGGAGGCAGUGGUGAGCAGAUAGAGUUGUGAUGGAGGCAGUGGUGAGCAGAUAGAGUUGUGGUGGAGGCAGCGGUGAGCAGGUAGAGUUGUGGUGGAGGCAGCGGUGAGCAGGUUGAGUUGUGGUGGAGGCAGUAGUUGUAUGUUUAGGAGGCAGGUUUAUGUGUAUUAUCUGAUUUGGGGUUACGUGUUUGGGAUUUGGGGUUAGACUGGAGCAAAGGAGAUAUUUCAAUGAAUACAUUUAUGUAAAGGAUGAAUGUUGACGUUUGGACAAGCAGUGUGUGCAUUUGGCAUGAGACAUGAAUGGGUCAGGUAUUUUUUAUGUUAUCAGCAUUUGGCGUCCAUUAUAGUGUAGUGUUAGUUAACGCUAGAACACCUAUAUUUCCUGUUUUCUCCUAGUAGAGAUUUUUUACCUCUAUCUAAACUUAUUUAAUGGAUAUUGCUCUCUGACCAAGACUGAAAGCCAGCUGGGUUAAAUAACGGGGUGCACUCGAGAAUUGCAGGGGCUCUCUGUGUCUUUAAUUUACUGGAAUGAUGCCUCUUACUGCCUCCCAUUCCACCCACACUGACAUAAUAACCAUGAUGACACACUGCACACUCCACUGGCAGCAACUUAAUAAGGACCAGCAAUUGUCAGCCUGGUCUCACAUUAUUUUGCUUUGCACUGACAGGGGUUGGAGGGCUCAGCUGAUAUCCCCCCUCUUCUAUGGUUCUUAGUAUGAUCCACUCCUACCGCAUGUGUGGAGAGCAGAGCAUAUGGAGGUACGUGGAGGCUGAUUAAAGUAUGAGAUGUUUUAUAUACAAAGCAGUAUGUAAGCUGUUUUUAAUGAUAGGGGCCGGGAGAGCUGUAUGUAUAAGGCCUUAAGGAAGAGUCAGAUUGGUUUUUUUCAUGUGUUUUAUCACUUUCUCUGUAUUUCUCUGUUUUUCCUCCACAUCGUUUCUUCAAAA
rnacentral:lncRNA from 1 species